rnacentral:rRNA from 1 species
ACGCACGCUGGCGGCAUGCCUAACACAUGCAAGCCGCACGCGACCUUCGGGUCUAGUGGCGCACGGGUGCGUAACGCGUGGGAACCUGCCCUUAGGUUCGGAAUAACUCCCCGAAAGGGGUGCUAAUACCGGAUAAUGUCUUCGGACCAAAGAUUUAUCGCCUUUGGAUGGGCCCGCGUUGGAUUAGCUAGUUGGUAGGGUAAAAGCCUACCAAGGCGACGAUCCAUAGCUGGUCUGAGAGGAUGAUCAGCCACACUGGGACUGAGACACGGCCCAGACUCCUACGGGAGGCAGCAGUGGGGAAUAUUGGACAAUGGGCGAAAGCCUGAUCCAGCAAUGCCGCGUGAGUGAUGAAGGCCUUAGGGUUGUAAAGCUCUUUUACCCGGGAUGAUAAUGACAGUACCGGGAGAAUAAGCUCCGGCUAACUCCGUG